UACGAGGGGGGCAAGCGUUGUUCGGAAUUACUGGGCGUAAAGGGCUCGUAGGUGGCCAACUAAGUCAGACGUGAAAUCCCUCAGCUUAACUGGGGAACUGCGUCUGAUACUGGAUGGCUUGAGUUUGGGAGAGGGAUGCGGAAUUCCAGGUGUAGCGGUGAAAUGCGUAGAUAUCUGGAGGAACACCGGUGGCGAAGGCGGCAUCCUGGACCAACACUGACACUGAGGAGCGAAAGCCAGGGGAGCAAACGGG
rnacentral:rRNA from 1 species